rnacentral:lncRNA from 1 species
UUUCUGAGACCUUGACCCACUUAAAUCUCAAUAUUCCUUAAUUAAACCGUUAGAUCAAGUUCAAAUUCACGACACAUAUUAAACACAACUAUAACCAUAAAGCCACAAAGUUUCACCCAUAGAACUUUUACAAAACUCUUGAAAUCACCUAAAACGAAAAUCCUAUUUUAUUUCAUAAACCCAAGUUAUCCGAAACAAACCUCGA